UUGGUUAUUGAAUUGUAUUUUCAUGAAACUACAUAUACAAGCAGGCAUUGUAUUAAAAUGUUCAUGAAAUUUAUGUACGAAAGCUCUCGAUCCAGAUGCCUUUUCGGUGUUAGUUUACCACAGUUGAAAAGUAAUAAAAAUAUCUUCAGCACAGCAAAUAUGAUAAUAAAAUGUGGUUUACAUUCGCGCAAGUGCUUCGUCCAAGAAUCUGUUGAGCAUUAAAGUUCUAAAUCAGCUUGAAAGCCACGGAAACGUAAUUUUUGGUGCUAAAAGUAGAUUGGAGCUGGUGUUCGUUCUCGAUACUCCGGCGAUGGAUAAAACUUACCUGCAAAGAAAAGAAAGGAAAUAAAAAAUUAGAUAUUAAAAAUUUAUUUCGGAUGCAACCAGAGCCAACGCGAAGAGCCAACAAAAGUGACUGAGCGAGC